CCUACGGGAGGCAGCAGUGGGGAAUAUUGGACAAUGGGGGCAACCCUGAUCCAGCAAUGCCGCGUGAGCGAUGAAGGCCUUAGGGUUGUAAAGCUCUUUUGGCGGGGACGAUGAUGACGGUACCCGCAGAAUAAGCCCCAGCUAACUUCGUGCCAGCAGCCGCGGUAAU
rnacentral:rRNA from 1 species